CGGAAAUACAACACGCUUGCUCUCCGAAACUCUCGCAUCCUGCACGGGCCACAACCCCGUCCUACACUGAUUAUGCGCCACGAAGAAACCCGACCUGCCCGGCAAUGCAUCACGACGUCCUCGUCUGGCCUCCACGAACCAACCGUCAACACUCCGGCUUGUUGAUUCAGCAAAUGGCAUCAGGAGGAAAAGCCAAAACUCCACGAAGGAUGGCCACAGGGGGACAACAGCAAUGACCUCCAGAUGCGGGAAUGAAACUGUUUGUUAAACCAAGAAGACUGCUGAUCAUCACACCCACACAAACUUUGUACUGACAGUUGAUUAAACUCAACACUCACUGCCUAUAAGAGAGAAACCCACAGAGCAGGCAUCAGCAGGCAGAGUCUCUGGAGCACCGUGGCGCUGGCAUAGCAUAAGAAUUGAUGGUUCUGAUUCCUGAGCCAUUUCCACUACAGUGUCCAUUACUUUUUAAAUUGGCCUCAUUUAAUGGCCAGACUGUGGUCAGUGAGAAUGUGCUUGAAUUUCCCCAUUUGUAUCUCAUUUUGUAAAAAAAUAAAAUAAAACAUUAAACAAAAACCCACUGGGGGAGUACAGAGAUUGAUGAUCGAAAUCACUGGGAGAUUAAAGAGAUUAUAGAGACCAAUGCAGAACAUUGAUAUGGACACUGAAGUUGACAGCAGACUCAGCAAAUCACAACCGUUAACAUUUAAUUUGAGCGAAAUCGCCACUGCAUUGAGGAUGUGAUGUCAUUUGGUUCAAAGGGACUUUACAGACUUUAUUCAACUAAACACGAGAACAAAUUCAGCAGCAUCUUCGGAUUCCCCAGAAGGGGGAGACAGAAUUCCGAGGGAGGAACAGAACUCAAGAAUCAACGAAACUCCAUAGGCUACACUAGGAAACACAGCAACGUGUGUAUCUCCGCAGUCAUGAAUGGUUACAUAUAUGUACAUGCUUGACAACUAUAGCUACCUACAUGUCAAGCGUUUAUGUACUGUUCCCUGUUUAUAUCCUCUGUAGCGAUCAGUCCACUUUUGAAAAUUGAUUGCAGAUAGGAUAUAAGUGCGGAUCCGGAUAUACCGAUAUCUAUGGUCCCUCCCUUUUCCAUACGUGACGUGGCCAAGAAGUUAAACGCGAGUGUGAGGCGACGAGCUUUCUAACAAAUUGAACACCCAGAAAUCCAAUUCCGCUGAAAGAUCAAAUAAACUACGAGCAAUAAUGGUGACGGACGUACAACUAGCGAUUUUCGCCAAUAUGCUUGGCGUUUCGCUUUUCCUGCUGGUGGUACUUUACCAUUACGUUGCUGUCAAUAACCCAAAGAAACUGGAGUGAAUUUGUUGUCCAACUAAUUUGGAAGGGACCAUUCCAAGUGUGAUGAGGCUCCUCGUCUGCCAUCAUGGAACGAUGCACUGUUUCAACCAGCCUGUAAAUUACGAUUUUUUUUUAGGAUUAUGUGAAUAAAAAUAUUCAUGGA